CACAGGGGGACAUGGGCAGCCAGCUGGAGAGAUGGUCCCACGUCGCGCCUCCCCGCCGCCCGCCCGCGGCCACAGGCGCCAACGCAGAGCUCAGCCUUGCACCUGCGCCACCCACCCUCCAAGGGAACCGAACGCGUGAUGUCUACUUUCUCAGUUGGAAAAGAGUGGACUUUCCUAACCCAUCGACGGCCGUUUCUUACCUGGCAGCACUGAGGUGAAGAGCUGACCCGAAGGCAGGACCGGGCGGGACGGGGCAGAGCUGUACGAGGCACCGGGCGGUGCCAACAGCCGCGCCCCCUCACUCCGUGAGCGGCUGCAGAAGCAACAGGCUGACCACCUUCGCGUGCUGUGACCCAGAACACCAGCAAAGGGACUGCAGCACUCUCUCCAGCCAGUGUGCCUCCGAAGGCGGCCGUGGGAUCGAGGCUGGUGAAGCCCACUGGCUUCCACCCGCCUGCCGCUGCCCCGGGACUGCUCUGCCUCCUCCCGCCUGCCGCUGCCCCGGGACUGCUCUGCCUCCUCCCGCCUGCCGCUACCCCGGGACUGCUCUGCCUCCUCCCGCCUGGCGCUGUCCCGGGACUGCUCUGCCUCCUCCCGCCUGGCGCUGUCCCGGGACUGCUCUGCCUCCUCCCGCCUGCCGCUGCCCCGGGACUGCUCUGCCUCCUCCCGCCUGGCGGCCGUUCUUUCCAUACCCGUCCUCGUGGGGCUCGGACCACAUCAGCAAAGUGCAGAGACGAAACGUGGGAUCGGCAUUUCCCCGUAGCCACCCCUCAAGCGAUGUUGUUUGGGCAAGCCCCCUUGGUUUCAGGGAGGAGGUCAGUGAUGUCUCUUUACAGACCCACAGACCACUGUGCCGCCACCCCUGUGCAAUGCCGAGACCUCCCAUGCCCACCGUCCUACUGCCUCCUUUCUGUUCCUCUAAAAAACAUUUUCAGGCUUCUCAUCCUUUAAAUCUGAGGAAAGCAUCUUAAAUUUUUCUCAACAUUGGCAAAUCCUAGUUUAUGCUCUAGGUAUGGAAGCUCUCAUUCCAAACCAUUUGUUCUGGAAACAAUUCUUCAUGUCUUCUAGAUGGACACAUGCUGGCCUUUUGUCACCUAUUUACUUCAUCCUACCAUUUAUUUUCCUUAAAUUGCUCCAUAAAUAUGAGGUUUUACACAGCAUUCGAAUUACACAUAAGUGUGCUCUUGGUACAGGGAGUGUCACAGCGGGUGGUCCUGAGGACACACCAACCGGCACAUGGAGAGUCGGAGAAUCAAAGUUUAUUCACUGGCGAGCUCAGAGGGGCCUCGCCACCAAAUUCUGAGCCAUCUACCCGAUUUUUCCCACUUUUAUUAAGUUGGGGUGGUCCGAGAGGUGGGGUACCAGGUUAUGGCAGUUGAUGUGCCAGGCAGUAGGUUUAGUGUCACGCUGACGCCACACAACCGGCCAGUGUUGUGCUGAGGCAGCUCUUCUGGGAGGGGGUCUCUGGUGCCUGAUGCCAAGUAGCAGGUGGGGUCUCCCUUGCCAUUCUCUCUCUUCCCGAGGAAGCAGGCAUGGGUGGGAAGGUAGAAAGGUGUCAAGCAAGCUACCAAGGGCUUGCAUGGGUAAAGAGGUCCACAGCAGCUCCAGCUCCCUGUGUGGUUUGUGACAGUGGCUAAAUCCAGCGAGCACACUGCAAGAGCGUGUGUGCCCCGGGCAGCCUGCCCUUUCAGCCCUAUCCAUGGCCUCUCCCUUGCUCCCAGCCUCCUUCUCCCUGUUCCUCCACCCUGGGACCAGCACUUGGGGCUGUGUGACCUUGGGCAAGGCACUCACCUCUGUGCCUCACCCAUGUCCUAUUUCAAUAGGGAUUUUAGCAGAACCAGCCUCAGGCAUGCAGGCAGGCUAUUGAGAGGAGGCCUGCAGGUGGUGCGUGGUGCAAGUUUACAAUGAUACUGUUUAUCAUCAUUGUCAUUCUGUUUUUGUUUUCCUUUUAGCACUUAUCACCAGCUAACCUAGGGUAUGUGUUUUUCUACCUAUCUCAUUCAUUGUCUGGUAAAUUCCGCUAGAGUGGAGAUUUUUCUCUGUUCUGUUGGCAACCGACUCCGUGGUGCCUAGAUCAGAGCAGAGAUCUGGAAGAAGCUCCACAGAUGUUUCUGGAUGGAAGAGAAACCAGCAUGCUGUAGAAAGGCCAGUGACUAAGACCCAGCGAUUUUGAAUGGGGUUCAGUUAGAGAGGUCAUCGUUGGGGCUUCCUAUUUUCUUAGACCCACUCAGUACUGAGAUGUGGCCCUCUUGGGUUCCACAUCUUCUCAAGGCAGGGUCAGGCUUGAGAGACCUUGCAGGGAUAGUUCUGAGUGAUGUAUUUGCAUCACCUGUAGAGUUGGCUGGAGGAGGAGGGAUUCUGGACCAAAGCCACCCAGGAAUCCAUGGCUCAACUUGAGGAUGAAGGAUCUGUGGGAACCAGAUUCUAGGAAAAAUGUGCCAUGUGUCUAUUCAAGUCAGCAGCAUGAGGGAUAGCCUUUUCCCUGGAGCUAUUCAGAGCUGACCCUGCAGGAAAUAAGAUUAGGAUCCAAUAAAUAUAACACUAAGGAAGAAAACAAUUAUCACGUAUCUCUGAUAAUUUCAGUGAAACUUUGCACUCUCUUUCCAGAAAAUGUAUGUAGGAGCAUCAGUUCACAAUAUUUCAGGGCCUCAGAGACAUCCUGGAGAGCUGCAGGGUUGCCUUCGUGGGCUCCUCUGCUAAGAACACUGAUGGAAUACAGGCUGCAAGCCGAGGGUCCAAUUCAAUUUGCUCUCCAAAAAGUUUGCACCCUGCUGAGAGGCAGUUUCUAGGGUCUCCGAGGACACCGGAAUUUUGUGGUUCAAGAUGUACAUCUUCAAGAAUCAGGCAUCUCUGCUACACUUUGGCUCUACCCCCUCUCCGGGCUGUGUCUCACCACCGUGUCCAUUGCCAGUUCACGAGCACCGUGAGUCCACAGCCGGACUGCUAAGGAUUGAAAGGCUCAAAAGGAAGCGCAGAGCUGGCGGUUAGCAGCCCACGACCCGGACGACCGGGCUUUGCCUUUCCGGGCUGGGCAGGUCGU